rnacentral:rRNA from 1 species
AUGAAGUUGGAGUUGCUAGUAAUCGCGGAUCAGCAUGCCGCGGUGAAUACGUUCCCGGGCCUUGUACACACCGCCCGUCACACCAUGGGAGUUGGGAGCGCCCGAAGCCGGUGAGGUAACCGAGAGGAGCCAGCCGUCGAAGGUGAGACCAAUGACUGGGGUGAAGUCGUAACAAGGUACC